rnacentral:tRNA from 1 species
GAGGGUAUAGUAAGUGGUAGAGCAUGUGCUUAGCAUGCAAAAGGUCCUGGGUUCAAUCCCCAGUACCUCCA